AUUGAACGCUGGCGGCAUGCCUUACACAUGCAAGUCGAGCGGCAGCGCGGGGGCAACCCUGGCGGCGAGCGGCGAACGGGUGAGUAAUGCAUCGGAACGUAUCCCGGAGUGGGGGAUAACCUAUCGAAAGGUGGGCUAAUACCGCAUGAGCUCUGAGGAGGAAAGCGGGGGACCGAAAGGCCUCGCGCUGUGGGAGCGGCCGAUGUCCGAUUAGCUAGUUGGUGGGGUAAAGGCCUACCAAGGCGACGAUCGGUAGCUGGUCUGAGAGGAUGAUCAGCCACACUGGGACUGAGACACGGCCCAGACUCCUACGGGAGGCAGCAGUGGGGAAUUUUGGACAAUGGGGGCAACCCUGAUCCAGCCAUGCCGCGUGAGUGAAGAAGGC
rnacentral:rRNA from 1 species